CUGUGAUCUUGGGAGACAUGGCAGCGUCUAGGGAGAGAUACACAGGCGGUAAAGCCAUAACAGACGAACUGAACAGGCAGCCCAAGAAUGGGACUCCGGAGGGAUCCACAGUUACAGUAUGCUCCUGCCUCCCCUCUCGAGUAGGUUAGUUAGUUUCAGUCACAGUUACAGUAUGCUCCUGCCUCCCCUCUCGAGUAGGUUAGUUAGUUUCAGUCACAGUUACAGUAUGCUCCUGCCUCCCCUCUCGAGUAGGUUAGUUAGUUUCAGUCACAGUUACAGUAUGCUCCUGCCUCCCCUCUCGAGUAGGUUAGUUAGUUUCAGUCACAGUUACAGUAUGCUCCUGCCUCCCCUCUC